GAUCAUGGCUCAGGAUGAACGCUAGCGGCAGGCUUAACACAUGCAAGUCGAGGGGCAGCGGGGGGUAGCGAUACCCGCCGGCGACCGGCGCACGGGUGAGUAACGCGUAUGCAACUUGCCUAUCAGAGGGGGAUAACCCGGCGAAAGUCGGACUAAUACCGCAUGAAGCAGGGAUCCCGCAUGGGAAUAUUUGCUAAAGAUUCAUCGCUGAUAGAUAGGCAUGCGUUCCAUUAGG
rnacentral:rRNA from 1 species